rnacentral:rRNA from 1 species
UACGUAGGGGGCUAGCGUUGUCCGGAUUUAUUGGGCGUAAAGAGCGUGUAGGCGGCCGGGUAAGUCCGGUGUGAAACUCGAGGCUUAACCUCGAGAUGUCAUCGGAAACUAUUCGGCUAGAGUCCGGAAGAGGAGAGUGGAAUUCCUGGUGUAGCGGUGAAAUGCGCAGAUAUCAGGAAGAACACCAACGGCGAAGGCAGCUCGCUGGACGGUACUGACGCUGAG